CUACAAGGGUAUCUAAUCCUGUUUGCUCCCCACGCUUUCGCACCUCAGCGUCAGUAUCGAGCCAGUGAGCCGCCUUCGCCACUGGUGUUCCUCCGAAUAUCUACGAAUUUCACCUCUACACUCGGAAUUCCACUCACCUCUCUCGAACUCCAGACCGGCAGUUUAAGGGCAGUUCCGGGGUUGAGCCCCGGGAUUUCACCCCUAACUUGCUGGUCCGCCUACGUGCGCUUUACGCCCAGUAAUUCCGAACAACGCUAGCCCCCUCCGUAUUACCGCGGCUGCUGGCAC
rnacentral:rRNA from 1 species